rnacentral:rRNA from 1 species
UACGUAGGGGGCGAGCGUUGUCCGGAAUUAUUGGGCGUAAAGCGCGUGUAGGCGGCCCGAUAAGUCCGGUGUGAAAUCUUGGGGCUCAACCCCAAGCCUGCACUGGAUACUGUCGAGCUUGAAUCCGGGAGAGGUGAGUGGAAUUCCGAGUGUAGAGGUGAAAUUCGUAGAUAUUCGGAAGAACACCAGUGGCGAAGGCGGCUCACUGGACCGGUAUUGACGCUGAGGUGCGAAAGCGUGGGGAGCAAACAGG